UGCCAGAUGUGGGUGAAGUAGAGGAAGGCAGCAAAUCACACUGCCACAUGUGUACCUAUGCAACUAUCUUGCAUGUUCCGCACAUGUACCCCAAAACCUAAAAUGCAAUAAAAAAAAGAAACCCAUGAUCUGAAGCGCCAGGAGGGGGCAGAGGAUACAUGGAAUAGGUAGAGAAAGAAGGAAGCUGUGAGUACUCAUUUACAGAGGCUGGUACCUAGCACCUACUGUGAACCAUUCCUUUCUUGCUUGAUACAUGCGUGUUUGUGUGUGUACCAUUUUCUUGCUUGUUUUCUCUUUAUGUAUGUUCUGAGUAUAUGAGUUUCUAUCUAUCAUUUAUCACUAUAUCUAUAUCAGUCAAUCAAUCUAUCUAAUCUAUCUAUCGUCUAUCUACUUGUCAUCUAUACACUAAGCUUUUCUACCUCUUUCCUCUCAUCAAUUUACAUAAGGGUUGCAGAGAACUCUUAUUAUUAGGUAGCUUUAUAAUUUAAUUGUUAAGUUAAAGAAUGACUAAAUAAAUAACUAAAGCUAGCAAAUACUUCAACAGCUAGAGUUUGAUGGUUGUAACUGAGGAAGCUGCAAAUCUCGUGACCUCUGGAACAACCUUAGGCAGUCAUUUCCCUCUUGUUCUCCUAAACUGGACACUUUUCAUUAGUUUUAUAAGGAUGGUUUAGUUUUGGGGAAGGAUCCUUGCCUAAUAAGAAGAAAGUAGCUUUUGUACAAAUGACCACUUUCUUUCCCACUCUCUCAAAAAAAACAAAAACAAAAACAAAAGUCAAGGGCUGGGGAGACAAAAAAUCAAAACAGGUUGCUGCUACACCAUGUGGGCAAGAGGAGGAAUGUGUUUCUAUGUUUCUAAGAAACAUGAGUCACUUAAUACAUUCCAGGUGAUUUUUUUGUUAUUGUGCUUUCAGCUCUGGGGUACAUGUGCACAUCCUGCAUCCUGUAGGAUUGCUGCAUAGGUACAUAAAUGCCAUGAUGGUUUGCUGUCUCCAUCCCCCACACUGCCCCCAUUGCCUACAUCGGGCAUUUUUCCCUGUGUUAUCCCUCCCCAUCCUCCCUGAGCCUGCUGUCCUUCCCCUCCUCCCAUUCACGCCCCUACCCAGCCCAGUGAGUAUUUUUCCCUUCCCUGUGCCCAAGUGUUCUCAUUGUUCAUCACCCACCUGUGAGUGAAAACAUGCAGUGUUUGGUGUUCUGUUCUUCUGUCAGUUUGCUGAGAAUGAUGGUUUCUAGAUUCAAGCAUGUCUCUACAAAGGACAUGAACUUAACAUUUUUUAUGGCUGCAUAGUGUUCCAUGGUGUAUAUGUGCCACAUUUUCUUUGUCCAGCCUAUCAUUGAUUGGCAUUUGGGUUGGUUCCAGGGCCUUGCUAUUGUAAACAGAGCCACAACAAACAUAUGUUUUAAAUAAUAAAGAAGUAAAUUAAAUAGGAGUCUAAAUAAAUACUAUUUUGUCCUUUGCAGCAUCCCCAGCACAUAACAGGGUCUCUGAUGCCCGGUGACCGCCCAAUCAGUAGAUGGUAUACUGUGACAUAGCACCUGGAAGCACCUUGCACUCACAGGAAUUUAAAAGAAGCCAGAUAUAAUAGUAGCAAACAAUAAUCGAGCACUUUGCACCAGUGUAAUAACACUGCCAUGUAUCAAAAUAUUUAAUCAUCACAACAAAUUGGGCCAUUGUGAUGAAAGCCAAGGCAAAUAUCUUAAACACACAGAGUCCGUAUCGUAAGCAAGGAAUGAAGAAAAUAAAUUGUAUCUGCUUAUAACAGGGAGUAAGGCAACUAUCUCUCUUCUCCCUUCUGAGAAAGUCUGUUUUGGAAACACGAGUCUCACUUUGUUGUCCAGGCUGAAAUGCAAUGGCUGGAUCUUGGCUCACUGCAACCUCCGCCUCCAGGUUUCAAGCGAUUUUCCUGCCUCAGCCUCCUGAGUAGCUGAGAUUACAGACACGUGCUACCACGCCUAGGUAGUUUUUGUGUUUUUAGUAGAGACGGGGUUUCACCAUGUUGGCCAGGCCUGGUCUUGAACUCCUGACCUCAGAUGAUUCAUCUACCUUGGCCACCCAAAGUAGAUUACAGGUGUGAGCCACUGCACCUGGCCAGAGGUUGUUUUUUAUAUUCUAUAUAUCCUAGUAUAUAUAGGAUAUAACUGCCAAAGAAGACAUUUGAGGGACUAAACAUUGACUUUUCAUAUUAUAGUUAUAUUGCUUCAUCUAAAAUCCUAACAAGUUAUUAAUGUUUACAUUUUAGUAAAAGUAGCCAGAUGCAAACCACUAAAGUGGGCAAAUAAGACAUGUUAGUUUUUGCUGGAUGCGAUGGCUCAUACCUGUAAUCCCAGGACUUUGGGGGGCUGAGGUGCGUGGAUCACGAGGUCAGGAAUUCGAGAUCUGCCUGGCCAACAUGGUGAAACCCUGUUAUAAAAAAUAAUAUAAUAAAAUUAUAUAUAAUAUAAUAUAAUAUAAUAUAAUAAUAUAAUAAAAAACAAAGGUUACUUUUUAAAAAUAAAAACAGAAUGGAAGAAGAUGUUUGAAAACUAUAGUAUUUUUUAAAUAGUAAAUAUUGAAAUACAAAGCCAAGUUUGAAAAUAUAGUCUAUAUGGUUGAAGAACAAUAAUAAAGCACUAUCAAGAUACUAUCUCCUUUUUCACCCUAUUUGUUAAAUGUUUAUAAAAAUGUGAAAUCAUGUCAAAGUUUAUUAAGAAAAUUAAAAAAUGGAAUGAUAAAAAAUUUGAUAUUAAAUUAUAUCAAAUUAAAACUUGAUAUUAAAAAAUAUUACUUUACCCCUUUCAGAAGUUAAAAAUGUAAUAAAUAUUUUAAAACUAAAUGUUAAAAAACGUAGUGAUGGUAAUAUGCCAGUUAGGAUGGCGAUCAUUAGAAAGUCUGGAAACGAUAGAUGCUGACAAGGAUGUAGAGAAAUAGGAACGCUUUUACAUUGUUGAUGAGAAUGUAAUUUAGUUCAACCAUUGUGGAAGACAAUGUGGCCAUUCCCCAGGAUCUAGAACCAGAAAUACCAUUUGACCCAGCAAUCCCAUUACUGUGUAUACACCCAGAGGAUUAUAAAUCAUUCUACUAUAAAGAAACAUGCACACAUAUGUUUAUUGCAGCACUAUUUACAAUAGCAAAAACUUGGAACCAAUACAAGUGCCCAUCGAUGAUAGACUGGAAAAGAAAAUAUAGCUCAUAUACACCAUGGAAUACUAUGCAGCUAUAAAAAAGAAUGAGUUUAUGUCCUUUGCAGGACAUGGAUGAAGCUGGAAACCAUCAUUCUCAGCAAACUAACACAGGAACAUAAAACCAAACACCACAUGUUCUUACUCAUAAGGGGGAGUUGAAUAAUGAGAACACAAGGACAAAGGGUGGGGAACAUUGCACACUAGGGCCUGUUGGUGGGGUGGGAGGCAAGGGGAAGGGAUAACAUCAGAAGAAAUACCUAAUGCAUGUGGGGCUUAAAACCUAGAUGACAGAUUGACAGGUGCAGCAAACAACCAUGACACAUAUAUACCUGUGUAGCAAAUCUGCAGAUCUGUAUAUGUAUCCCAGAACUUAAAGUAAAAUUUUAAAAAGGAGUGAUAAUAAACUGUUAAUUUCUUUAAUAUGGAAAGUAUUCUUUAAAAUUGACAGGAAAAAAAUUAAAAAUCAGAUUGAAAAUCUAAAUCUAUACAGCCCACUAUGACAACUGGUGGACAUUUGUGGCCACUUAAAACAUUUAAUAUAAUAUUUCUACCUAUUUUGUAAAUUCUAUUGAGUAUUGCUGCUCUAUGUUGCCAGUUUACAGAAGAGCAAAUACAAAUGCCAAACAAGUAAACAAAAAUGUCCAAUUUCACUAGUAGUUUGAGAAACAGUGAUUACAGUAACAAAGAGUAUUACAAAGAGUAUCACUGAAUUGGCAAAACUUGAAAACAGGAUUAUCUUCUUCUCAUUCACAUUUAUGCACAUAUAUGUAUCAUAUUAACGUACCCUUAUUCUUACCAUAGAAAUACAGAUCAUCAUACUAUUUUUAAAUGCAAAAUGACGAUCUUUAUUUAAUAACAUUUUAUAAUGUGUGUGCAUGUGUGCAUUAGGUAUAAAUCUGUUGACAGAUGCCGUUCCUGGAAACGUCUCCUGUAGGGAUAAAAGUCCAAGUCCAAAGUGCAAUAUAUAUGGGGGUAUUUGUGAAAGUCUUGGUUGUUAUAGCAAAUAUAAUCAAAAGACGAAGGAAAAGAAAAAAGCACCCCCCCUAAAUAAAACCCUCCAGAAACAAUAUAAUUGCCUGUCAAUAGAGGGACACUUGAAUAUAUUGCCAUUACAUUAUAUUCACAUCUUGGAAUACUCUGCAGCCAUUAAUUACAAGAAAUCAAAGUAUUACAUGUUGACUUGAAGUGAUGUCAACAAGAAAGUAUGAGUGGAAAGUGAAAGACUAAGAAAAGUAUGCAUGAUAGAAACCCAUUUAAUACAAAGCAAAAUGACAAGUAUAUAUGCAUGCACAUAUACACACAAAUAUAUGCACAUAUUAUAUGAAAAUAUAUGCAUAUAUAUGACUAGUUGAGCAUAAAAGAAUAUGACUAUUUAUUAGAUUGUUCAUUUUGCUGACAUGCUGUGAAGAUGAAGAUAGGUUAAUGAAGAUAGGAACGGUGAAUCAUAAAAGCACUUAAAAGAUAAAUAAUUUGAUUUUUCAUGCAAUUAUGUACAAUUAUAUAUACCUGUUUAAAGACAAAUAUGUAUGACAUUAAAAUAAUUAAAAGAAAAUUAAAUUGUUCAUAUUUAAUUUUCUCUAAUCAAAAAUUUAUUUAUAUAUUUAUUUAUUUUUAAAACAGCAAUGAUUUUAUUUAGUUCAUGGUUCUGUGUGUUGGUUAAGGAGAUCUUCUGCAUGAACCAGGUUGACUGAGAGCCACUAUGCUUGCUCACCUGCCUGUGAUCAACUGGAAAAUUAGCUGGAGUGAAGCUAGGAUGGCUUCCUUCACGGUGAUGGCAGCUAGCAGCCUGUUGGCGAGUAUCUGGGUUCUCUUCCCCAUGGCCUCUCAUCCUCCAACGGGAUAGCUCAGGUGCAAUUAGGGGGUGACGGAAGGUAAGAGAAGAAAGAGAGAUGAAGUUCCAGUGCUCAGAUACCUUUCAGAUCUCAUCAUGUGGCAACUUGCUGUUGUUUUUUGAUCAAAACCAAUCACAUGGUGAACUCGUCUCAAAGAAUGGAAAAAUAGGCUCCAUCUCUUGAUGAGAGGGGAAUAAUUUAUGGUUGUUUUUGCAGAUUAAAUACAGUAGUUGUAGCUUAAUAUCACCACAACUAUGUGCACAAAAUGCUCUCAAGUGAUUUUUAUUUCUCAAGCCAUGUGACCCAUACAGUAUCAUCCAUAAACAAUGAGCACCAACGCUGUUGGCAUCAUCUACAGCUUGUUAGAAAUAAAGAAUCUCACUCAGGCCCCACUCGAGACAAACCGUGUUGAUUAAGAGUCUACAUUUUUACAAGAUCCUCAUGAUUCAUAAGCCCAAUAAGGUUAUAGAAGCACUGUAUCUUUUUGUUAUUUUUAUCAAAAGAUUUUCCACAUCUAUUGAGAUGAUCAUAUGGUUUUUGUUUUUCAUUCUGUUUAUGUGGUGAAUCACAUUUAUUGAUUUACAUAUGUUGAAGCAACCUUGAAUCUCAGGAAUUAAGCCUAGUUCAUUGUGGUAAAUCAGCUUUUCGAUGUGCCAUUGGAUUCAGUUUGCUAGUAUUUUGUUGAGGAUUUUCGUGGUUUUUUUCAUUACAAAUAUAGGCCUAUAGUUUUCUGUUUUCGUUGUGUCUUACCCAGGUUUUGGUAUCAAUAUGCUAUUGGCUUCAUAGAAUGAAUUAGGGAGGAGUCACUCCUCCAUUUCUUGAUACAGUCUCAGUAGAAAUGGCACCAGUUUCUCUUUGUACAUCUGGUAGCAUUUGGCUAUAAAUCCAUCUGGUCCAAGGCUUGUUUUGAUUGGGAGAUUUUUAUUAGUGAUUUAAUUUUGAAUUCAAUGUUAGUAGGCUCAGGGUUUCAGUUUCAUUCUCAUUGAAUCUUGGGAGAUUGUGUGUUUCCAGGAAUGUAUUCAUUUCCUGUACAUUUUCUAAUUUGUAUGUGUAGAGGUAUUUAUAAUAGUUUCUGAAAAUCUUUAGCAUUUCUAUGGGACCUAAUGUAAUGUCAUUUUUGUCAUUUCUGAUUGUGUUUAUUUGGAUUUUAUCUUUUUUCUUUGGUAAUCUAGCUAGUGGUCUAUCAAUCUUAUUUAAGCUUUCAAAGAACACAUUUUUGGUUUUAUUUAUUUUUGUAUAAAUCUUGGGGUCUUGAUUUUAUUCAGCUGUGCUCUAAUUUUGGUUAUUUCUUUCUUCUGGUAGCUUUGGGGUUAGCUGGCUCUUGUUUUCCUAGUUCUUCCAUAUGUGAUGUUAGAUUGUUAAUUUAAGAACUUUUUAACUUUUUGAGGUAGGCGUUUAGCCCUAUAACCUUUCCUCUUAACACUGCUUUUGCUGAAUCCCAGAGAUUUUGGAAUGUUGUAUCUCUGUUUUUGUUUAUUUCAAAUAACUUUUUGAUUUCUGCCUUAAUUUUAUGUUUUCCCAACAGUCAUUCAGGAGCAAGUUGCUUAAUUUCCAUGUAAUUGUGUAGUUUUGAGAGAUCAUGAUAUUAAUUUCUAUUUUUAUUCCAUCAUGGUCCAAGAGUUUGGUUAAUAUGAUUUUGAUUCUUUAAAAAAAUGUGUUGAUAGUUGUUUUAUGGCCAAGCAGGUGUUCAGUCUUGGAAUAUGUUCUAUGUGCAGAUGAGAAGAACGUAUAUUCUGUGGUUGAUGGGUGGAUUCUUCUGUACAUUUAUAUUAUGUCUAAUUGGUCAAAUGUCAAGUUUAAGUUCAGAAUUUCUUUGUUAGCUUUAUGCCUCAAUAUGUUGUCUAAUGGCAACAGUGGAGUAUUAACAUUUUCCAAUAUAAUUUUGUGGCUAAGUCUUCUGUAGUUCUAGACGUAUUUAUUUUAUGGGUUCUCGGAUGUUGAGUGCAUAUAUGUUUAAAACAGUUAUAUCUUCUUGCUGAGUUGAACCCUUUAUCAUUAGGAAACACCCUUCUUUGUCCUUUUAUUUUUUACUAUUGUUGGUUUAAAGUCUGUUUUAUAUGAUAUAAGAAUAGUGACUCUGCUCUUUUCUGUUUUCUGUUUCUGUGGUAGAUCUUUCUACAAUCCUCUACUUUGAGCCUAUGGGUGCUACUAUAUGUGAGAUGGGAUUCUUGAAAACAACAGCUGGAUGAGUCUUGGAGCAGCAGAAAGGCCCCCCACCUCGCCCCAGAACCAAGAUCUCUGCACAGGAGGUAUGGGGAAACUCAGGUUGCAGAACCAGACAAGCAAGUAUUUCGAACACCUAGAAAUCAGUCUGGGUGUGGAGAGAGCAGGUCUCACUCCACCAUGAUUUAUGUCUAGGAAAGGUGGGAUGGCUAAGGCUGCUGAACCAGGUGAAUGGGUCCUUGAAAUACUUUGAGAUCUGCCUGGAUGUGGAGCAGAGAUAAACCUGCUGCACCAUGAUCUAUGUGGUGGCUCCAUGAUCUAGGGUGGCUCAGGUAGCUGCUUGUCCAGGAAAGCAGGUGCUUCAUCUACCUGGGUUUCUGCUUUUUUCAGCCAGACGCCAUUUUCCAAUGUUCUCCUCCUUAGUAUCUGGUGUCCUUCAUUCCACUUUAUUCCCAUUUUUCUUCUUGAUUUAAAGCUCACAGAGUUGAUCUUUAUGCAUUAUUUUGCUAUUUCCAGGUGGAUGAAGCAUGCUAAAAGCCUCUAAUCUGCCAUCUUGGGGGAAAAAAAUGAAUCAAAAGUUUAAUGAUUCCUAUUUCUCUUUUAAAGCAACCAACUAAGGUUAUUCUUUCAGCAUUUUGCUUAACUGUUUUAUUUAAUGUCAACUAUGCUUUGUCUUGUUUGCAUAAAGGAUUGUCCAACACAUCCCAGCAAAAGCAUGAUUUUAUUUAGGUAACAUGAUUAUAAGAAUUAACAUAUUAGAGCAGAACUAUUUAGUAAAACAAUAAUACAAGUUGUAAAUUCGUGCCACGUAGGUAAUUUGAAAUAUUUUGAUACUAUAUUUAAGAAAGCAAAAGAAAAAGGUAAAAUUAGUUUUAGUAACAUAUUUUAUUUAGACCCAAAUAUCUAAAACAUUAUUAUGCCAACAAAUAGAUACUAUACAAAUUACUGAAAUAUUUUACAUGAUUAUUUUAUACCAAGCAUUUGAAAACCAGUACAUAUUUCACAUCUUCAGAAAUUCUCAGUUUUACUGGCCAUAGAAUAGUGUUCUACUGCUACUGUAUAGGACAGAGUAGAACUAGAAAAUUGAAAAAAAAGUUUGAUUUUAAAAAGUUGCUCUAGUAAAGCGAAUGUUUGUGAAAUAUAAAGUGAUCAAGAACUGUGAAAUCUUGAUUUCUGUUCAUUGACACACUGAGUAUAUGUGUCAAACCUAAAUAAUGAACAGAAAGGCUCUUGAAAAGAAAAUAAUGUUUAUUCAGUAUUGAACAUUGAAAUGAAACAUGUCAGAUGUACUCAGGGAGGUAAAGCAAGAGAAAGGUUUUAAAGUGAAACAACUAUUCUUAGCCACAAGGAGCAAUAAUAAGGGAGAUGUCAGUCCAAGGUUGGAUAGACAGUUGCUGGGCAGAUGUCCUUCCACUUGCUUCCAUUUUUGUUCUGAGACAUAUCAAUGCGUAAGUUACACAGAAAUUUCUGCUACAUUUUAGUGUUUAUCUUAUUCUACAUUAUUUAUCCCUUCUUAUUUUCUGUUCUUCAGUAUGAACUUUCUUAACACAAAACUGAACCACAACAGAUUUACAACACACGUUAUUCAAUAAAAAAAAGC